ACAGCAGUCGCCACGGGAAUACGUAGGGUGCAAGCGUUAAUCGGAAUUACUGGGCGUAAAGCGUGCGCAGGCGGUUUUGUAAGACAGAGGUGAAAUCCCCUGGCUCAACCUGGGAACUGCCUUUGUGACUGCAAGGCUAGAGUACGGCAGAGGGGGAUGGAAUUCCGCGUGUAGCAGUGAAAUGCGUAGAUAUGCGGAGGAACACCGAUGGCGAAGGCAAUCCCCUGGGCCUGUACUGACGCUCAUGCACGAAAGCGUGGGGAGCAAACAGGAUUAGAUACCCCCGUAGUCCCUGUCUCUUAUAC
rnacentral:rRNA from 1 species